rnacentral:tmRNA from 1 species
ACGACGACGUCUACGCUCUCGCCGCUUAAGGCGUAAGCCCCGAACCCGUUUGUGCUCGUGCUCACGGAUGUAGGGUCAUUAUCACGGGAUCGCUUAUCGUGGCUGCCUGUCAACGAAAGGCUAAAACAUAACCGGCUGGUUCUCUGGCGUGCUUCGCACACCGUGCUGUCAGAGAACAAGAUCCAACGGUGAGCUAAGCAUGUAGGGCCGGAGACGUAGGGCUUUCGGACGGGGGUUCAACUCCCCCCACCUCCACCA